AACUGUUUGGAAAUGCCAAAAAGAAGUGCUCACCAGAUGUGGCAGCUCUAAACUGGGGGAAGAGCUCUGUCAGUGGAGGGAAUGAGAAAAGAAUUCCCUGCCAAAAUGCUACUGGAGCCAGGAUUUGGCAGCUUGUGUUUGCCCUGUGGAACCAGGGAGGAGUUCCCAGGCAUGGUCUGACUCCGUGCUGGAACAACAUCAAGAUUCCCUGAAGCUGGGGUGCACAGUUGUUUCAGGAAGAGCCUGAAGUUAAGUUUUCAUAGGGGGUUUCAAAGAUCCAUCCCUACUGCCUGGUCUGAAAUGAUCUGAACUGCAGACAAAGGAAUGGAUUUAGCCUGGUUCAGUCUGGGUGUUGAGGGAGAUUCAGAGUC